rnacentral:rRNA from 1 species
ACUCGCCUGCACGAAGUCGGAAUUGCUAGUAAUCGUAGGUCAGCAUACUACGGUGAAUACGUUCCCGGGCCUUGUACACACCGCCCGUCAAACCAUGAGAGUUGGCAACACCCGAAGUCGGUAGUCUAACCGCAAGGAGGACGCCGCCGAAGGUGGGGUUGAUGAUUAGGGUUAAGUCGUAACAAGGUACC